UACGAAGGGAGCUAGCGUUGUUCGGAAUCACUGGGCGUAAAGCGCACGUAGGCGGAUGUGUCAGUCAGGGGUGAAAUCCCGGAGCUCAACUUCGGAACUGCCCUUGAUACAGCACGUCUUGAGUCCGGAAGAGGUGGGUGGAAUUCCUAGUGUAGAGGUGAAAUUCGUAGAUAUUGGGUGGAACACCGGUGGCGAAAGCGGCUCUCUGGCCCGGUUCUGACGCUGAGGCGCGAAAGCGUGGGGAGCAAACAGG
rnacentral:rRNA from 1 species